rnacentral:rRNA from 1 species
CUUUACUGUAGCUUGGAAUUGACUUUGGGUUUAUUUUGCGCAGUAUAUGUGGGAGGCUAAGAAAGUAUAUUUCUGGAUAUAUUCGAGCCGACAGUGAGAUACCACUCUGAAUAAACUAAAAUUCUAACUUUGAUAGUCGUUAACCGGCCAAAGAACAUUUCCAGGUGGGCAGUUUCACUGGGGCGGUCGCCUCCUAAAAAGUAACGGAGGCGUGCAAACGUUUCCACAGACUGGUCGGAAAUCAGUCUUCGAGUAUAAAGGGAUAAGGAAGCUUGACUGCAAGACCUACAAGUCGAGCAGAGACGAAAGUCGGCCUUAGUGAUCCGACAGUGCUGAGUGGAAAGGCUGUCGCUCAACGGAUAAAAGUUA